rnacentral:rRNA from 1 species
UUAUGGUGGGCACUCUAAGGAGACUGCCGGUGACAAACCGGAGGAAGGUGGGGAUGACGUCAAGUCCAUCAUGGCCCUUACGGCCUGGGCUACACACGUGCUACAAUGGUCGGUACAAAGGGUUGCCAAGCCGCGAGGUGGAGCUAAUCCCAUAAAACCGAUCGUAGUCCGGAUCGCAGUCUGCAACUCGACUGCGUGAAGUCGGAAUCGCUAGUAAUCGUGAAUCAGAAUGUCACGGUGAAUACGUUCCCGGGCCUU